CAUGAUUUGCUGGGAGAAAAGAGGUAUUUUUAAGGCCACUAAAGGGCUUUCCAAACUCAUCUGCCAUCCUCAUCUCUCUAAGUCAACUCAGAUGGGUCACAUGGCAGUGAGAGUGUGUCUCCUCCAAACUUGCUCAUGCUGCACUAUUCAGGGUUUCAUUCUGUUCUCUCUCACAUUUCAACAUUAUAUAGUUUUUAAUAUCUUGCCUAAAAUCCCUCCAUAAGCUGUACUGAAGUGUCUGCUAAAAUGAGAAUCAUUCCACUUUCUUCCUACAAUGUGGUCUUGAAGCACCUUGACGACCAUUUAAUUCUGGGCUACCUACCAGAAACCUUUUCCAUCCCACCUCCUUUUCUCAGUGUUCACAUAGUUCUCCUCAGUUUUCUAGUUUCCAGUCUGAAACCCCUGUCUUCACGCUGUGAAUGCACAGAAUACACUUGCCCUUGCUCCACUUAGAGCUGUCUUGUUUCAAGUCUAGGGCUCAUGGGCAGCUCACUAGAUGUACUACCCAAGCUUGGGUUUUAACAGGGUGAUGGGGAUGAGGCAGAUGAAUGCAUGCUUCAGGUUGUGCUGGAUGAUCCCAAGAAGGAAAUGACAACCUGAGGCUGAUUAGUAUUCCCAUGAAGGAGUGGAGCUUGCAUAGAUGUGUGUGAGCCUCAUGUGCAAACGUCUUCUCAACAUGUGCUCUCACAAGUCUCUUUUCUCAUCUUGUUUUCCUGUUGGCACCUCCAUCGGAGCUUACCUCAGAGUCAAGACCAUGGUGGAAUUCAUUUCCAUGAAGAGCCACCACGACCUUCCAGCUUCUUGGAGGAAACAUGGAGUAAUCAUGUCCUGCCCAUCUAGUUCUCAAGGUCUCUCAUUGAUAUGAUUGGCUUUGGAGGAAAGGGGAAUGAGUUGUGUUCUGCACUGCAGUCCUUGUGUUCCUGAUUGACAAGCAGGGUCAGCCAGCCUGAAGUGCGCCCCUGGGGAUACAGUUUUUUGUAGUAGUGUGACUUCCUGUGAAGUGAUCACUUCCUGGUGUCCAAUGGUUGCUUAUUCACCCAGGAUGCAUCACACUGCUAAAAAUUUUAAGAGGUAGAACAAAGCACACCAUAAGAAAACCCAACAGUUGACUUUUAAAAAGUUUAGAACCAAGAACCUAAAACAUGAUAGAAAAAUGUGAAAAAGACAUGAGCCAGCAGUUUAUGAGAAAGAUGUAGCACAGGUCAUUCACUUUAUUAAGAGAUGUUUAAAAGACAUGAGCAGUCAAUUGAAAAGAAAGAUAUGGAAUUAGACUCUAACCAACCACUUUAAAAAAUAUUUUAUCUCACUAAAGUAAGAAAAUCAUAUUAAAAUUCCCUUGAAAAUAAAAUUGACCCAGAAGUGGCAUAGAUUUUAGAAAUUGCAGAGACAUUAAAAUACUUGGAAUAAUUGUGUUUUGUAUGUUAUAAAAUUAAGUAGAGGC
rnacentral:lncRNA from 1 species